rnacentral:rRNA from 1 species
AUGGCGGAAGAAGCAGCUGCCAAUGUUAAGGAGGAGGAGGAGUUCAGCACCGGCCCCCUGUCCCUGCUCCUGAUGAGCGUCAAGAACAAUACUCAGGUGCUUAUCAACUGCCGGAACAACAAGAAGCUACUUGGUCGUGUGAGGGCAUUUGACCGUCACUGCAACAUGGUUCUUGAGAAUGUUCGGGAGAUGUGGACUGAGGUUCCAAAGACUGGCAAAGGCAAGAAGAAGGCCCUUCCAGUGAACAAGGACAGGUUCAUCAGCAAGAUGUUCCUCCGCGGCGACUCGGUCAUCAUUGUUCUAAGGAACCCGAAAUGA